rnacentral:rRNA from 1 species
GCGUUUGGAAUUGUAGUCUUGGCUUCUGAAUGGCACUGGAUGACGGGUAAUUCGAUGGAAAUCGAGGUCGUAGAGGGUGACAGCCCCGUUUCUCGUCGUUCCGGUGCUACCUUUCAGUUGUUCACCGAGUAGCGUUCCUUGGGAGUGGAGCGUGAAGUGGGUGGUGAUAUCCAUCCAAAGCUAAAUAUUGGCGAGAGACCGAUAGCGAACAAGUACCGUGAGGGAAAGAUGAAAAGCACUUUGGAGAGAGAGUUAAACAGUAUGCGAAAUCGUUGGAAGCAAGCGAAUCAGUGGGUUUGGGCACGGUUCUGCGUGUCGAGUACUCGGGUAGUCGUGCGAACUCUUCGGAGCACGCCGGCUGCUUUGCCAGCACUCGGCCGUGGGACGAGGUUUCGGUGUCCGGCUUUUAGCCAGCCUUCUGAUCCGACCCGUCUUGAAACACGGACCAAGGAGUCUAAUAUGUGUGCGAGUGUUCGGGUGUCAAACCCCAACGCGCAGGUAACCCAAAUCGCGUUAGUCCUUGCGGACACAUCGCGGGUAGUGUGUUUUUCCCUAACAAGAGCACGUAUGUUGGA